UGGAAACAGAUGCUAAUACCGAAUGAAACUUAGUGUCGCAUGAUACGAAGUUAAAAGGCGCUUUGGCGUCACCUAGAGAUGGAUCCGCGGUGCAUUAGUUAGUUGGUGGGGUAAAGGCCUACCAAGACAAUGAUGCAUAGCCGAGUUGAGAGACUGAUCGGCCACAUUGGGACUGAGACACGGCCCAAACUCCUACGGGAGGCUGCAGUAGGGAAUCUUCCACAAUGGGCGAAAGCCUGAUGGAGCAACGCCGCGUGUGUGAUGAAGGCUUUCGGGUCGUAAAGCACUGUUGUAUGGGAAGAACAGCUAGAAUAGGGAAUGAUUUUAGUUUGACGGUACCAUACCAGAAAGGGACGGCUAAAUACGUGCCAGCAGCCGCGGUAAUACGUAUGUCCCGAGCGUUAUCCGGAUUUAUUGGGCGUAAAGCGAGCGCAGACGGUUGAUUAAGUCUGAUGUGAAAGCCCGGAGCUCAACUCCGGAAUGGCAUUGGAAACUGGUUAACUUGAGUGCAGUAGAGGUAAGUGGAACUCCAUGUGUAGCGGUGGAAUGCGUAGAUAUAUGGAAGAACACCAGUGGCGAAGGCGGCUUACUGGACUGUAACUGACGUUGAGGCUCGAAAGUGUGGGUAGCAAACAGGAUUAGAUACCCUGGUAGUCCACACCGUAAACGAUGAACACUAGGUGUUAGGAGGUUUCCGCCUCUUAGUGCCGAAGCUAACGCAUUAAGUGUUCCGCCUGGGGAGUACGACCGCAAGGUUGAAACUCAAAGGAAUUGACGGGGACCCGCACAAGCGGUGGAGCAUGUGGUUUAAUUCGAAGCAACGCGAAGAACCUUACCAGGUCUUGACAUCCUUUGAAGCUUUUAGAGAUAGAAGUGUUCUCUUCGGAGACAAAGUGACAGGUGGUGCAUGGUCGUCGUCAGCUCGUGUCGUGAGAUGUUGGGUUAAGUCCCGCAACGAGCGCAACCCUUAUUGUUAGUUGCCAGCAUUCAGAUGGGCACUCUAGCGAGACUGCCGGUGACAAACCGGAGGAAGGCGGGGACGACGUCAGAUCAUCAUGCCCCUUAUGACCUGGGCUACACACGUGCUACAAUGGCGUAUACAACGAGUUGCCAACCCGCGAGGGUGAGCUAAUCUCUUAAAGUACGUCUCAGUUCGGAUUGUAGUCUGCAACUCGACUACAUGAAGUCGGAAUCGCUAGUAAUCGCGGAUCAGCACGCCGCGGUGAAUACGUUCCCGGGUCUUGUACACACCGCCCGUC
rnacentral:rRNA from 1 species